GGUUAAUAAAAUAUAAAACAUGCACACACAAUUGGCAAGGGGGAAAAUUUUUGAAAUGGAAAUUUAGUUACUUAAUGGUUUAUUUUAAUAUUCUUGGCAAAUCCAAGCUGAGGAAUGUUUAAAGCAGGAAAAGGACAUGGUUUUUCAUUGUCUUUAUUCAAGUAGUGAGACUAAGUUGAUUGAGGUUUGUCCUGCUCUUCUUGGCAAAUCCAGACUAAGUUUUUUGAGUUUGUCCAGCUCUUAAAAAUGGGUGACGGUUUUGUGGAGCAUCCUGAUUUGUUGAAGAAAUUUAAGGGUUGGUUUCCGUCUAUUUUAAUUUUCUCAUCUUAUGAUCAUACAUUGUUUUUGUUUGUUACGUAGAUAGUACAGUAUGAGUUAUCUGUUUAUGUCAUCCAACUACUAGAGGAGGAGACCUAUGCUUGUCAUUUAUUGUUUAGGGAUGAUAAGGUACACAUACUGCUGUUGCUAUAAAUGGUGGAACUAUUUUAUUUAAUUUCAAUCCAUUGAAGUGGUUUCACAUAUUUUUUGGUCGACAAAUAGAGGAAUUUUCAAGAAUAUAUAGGCUCUUCUCCGACAUACCUCGAGACUUAGAGUCUGUUGUUGAUCUAUUUAAGUAAUUUGUGGUCUGCUUAAGUCUUUUAAAAGUCGACUUUUAUUUUUCAAGUCCUCUGUUUCUAAUAUAUAAUAUCAUCUUGAAUUCACAGUAUAUGCUACCAACAAUCAACUUGUGUGAAUUCAAGAUGCCAUUAUAUAUUAGAACUUGAAAAAUAAACGUCGACUUUGAAAAGACUGAAACAAAUCACAUGCUUAAAUAGAUUAGCAAUAGAUUGUAAGUCUCGAGGUAUAUUGGAGAAGAGCUUAUAUUUUCUUAAAAAUUCCUGUAUUUGUAGAUCUAAAAAUAUGUGGAUGCACUUCAAUAGAUUGAAAUCAAAUAAAAUAGUUCCACCACUUGCAGUAUGUGUACCUUAUCAUCCCUAUGCAAUAAAUCACAAGGUCUCCUUAUCAAAUAGUUGGAUGGCAUAAACAAAUAACAACUGAUACUUUACUAUCUACAGGAACAAACUAUAUAUAUGAUCAUAAGAUGAGAAAAUUCAUAGACGGAAACCAACCCUCAAACUUCUUUAAACAAAUUAGGAUGCUCCAUCAACCAUUUUUAAUAGCCGGACAAAUCUCGAGCAACCGAGUUUGAAUGAAGACAAUGAAAAAUCAUGUCCUUUUCCUGCUUUAAACAUUCUCAGCCUGGAUUUGUAAUGAUUAGUUGACUCAAAUACUUGUUUGAUUAAUCAUUAUGUGGAUAUUGUGCAAUCCUAAAAACAUAUAUUGUGAUUUCUGGUUUUAUGAAAAUUGUUUAGUUCUAUAGAGAUACUAAUAUCUCAAUUAAAUUGUGGUGUGAAUUGAACUUUGUUGGAUAAAUUAAGUUUUUACGAUCAACUUAUGGUGUGAUUUGAACUUAGUUGGGACUAGAAAUUUGGUUGGUCACUUAUUUACUGAUGGAUAUUGCUCAUUGGAAGUUCUUAGCUCCUCUUCCUAGUUUAUGUGCGAAAUUAGUCGAGUUACAACAUUUUUACUCCGAAUUUAGUGAGAACCAGGCCUUGUAGACGAAAGAAUCGAACUUUUUUGAAAAACACAAGAAUAUAAAUAAUGAUGUCAAAACUUAAUUAAUAUUAGUUAAAGAAAAUGAAAUGGAAAUUUGACUGGUG
rnacentral:lncRNA from 1 species